GUUCUCUUCGGUAGCACAUAGACUAAGACUGGAAUGAUACAGAGAAGGUUAGCAUAGCCUCUGUGCAAGGAUGACAUGCAAAUUUGUGGAAAAAAAGUAGGUAGAU